rnacentral:rRNA from 1 species
CCCUUAGAUGUUCUGGGCUGCACGCGCGCGACAAUGACGUUUGCAACGAGAUUGCGAGGCCGUCAGGUCGAGCUGAUCUUGCAAGCUGCGUCGUGAUAGGGACAGUCGAUUGCAAUUAUUCGACUCGAACGAGGAAUUCCUUGUAAUCGCGCAUCAUCAGUGCGCGCUGAAUACGUCCCUGCCCUUUGUACACACCGCCCGUCGCUCCUACCGAUUGAAUGCUCAGGUGAGCCAUUCGGACUUUCAUCAUGCUGGUCUCCAGUUUUGAUGAAGGAAAGUCUUGCGAACCUUAUCAUUUAGAGGAAGGAGAAGUCGUAACA